UUCAAGAGCUAUGUUUUUGCUGAUAUUGAGAAAUUUUAUUCAAAACAAAGAACUAGACAACAUCCAUGAUGGUAAUCAUAAGACAAGAUACUAGUAAUGUGACAAACGUCGCCUGAUUUUCAAAAUAUCAGCAGAAUUUAAAAUAUCACAUUUUUAUUGCAAUAAUAUUGUGAUAUUAACAGGAAAAAUAGUCAAAACCUUCACGAAUUUGUUAUUUAAGUAUAUAUUUAAAUUUUAAAUUAUUUAUUAAUUGACAAUAAAUGUUUUUAAAUCAUUUCUAUUUAUGGCAAGAUUUUCCCAAUAAGAUCCCCAGAAAAACCCCAAAUUUUAAAAAUCCCCUGCGAAAAUUCUGGCAGAGAAAUUGCUGAGAACAAGAUUUGUCACUGUGGCUAGUAGAAGGUUGAAGCUACUCCUCCAGCUAGAGAGAACCAACUCGUUUGCCUUGGUAGGAUCCAUAACCGUUAUCAGUAUGACAAACUCUAAUCUUGUAGAUCUGAAAUUGUUAUAUCAAAAGGGGUUCCAGUGCAAUAUAUCCAAAAAUAAAUCUCUUACAGGGAAAUAUUUCUCUGAAAUGCAUGUAACAUGCCCAUUGGAGCAUAUAAGAAAAACCAAAUGUCAUAAAAGAACAAGAUGACAUGCAUACGGAUUUAUUGCAAGUAUCUUUUU